UCUAGCGAGACUGCCCGGUAAUAAAACCCGGAGGAAGGUGGGGAUGACGUCAAAUCAUCAUGCCCCUUAUGACCUGGGCUACACACGUGCUACAAUGGUUGGUACAACGAGUUGCGAGCGGUGACGGCGAGCUAAUCUCUUAAAGCCAAUCUCAGUUCGGAUUGUAGGCUGCAACUCGCCUACAUGAAGUCGGAAUCGCUAGUAAUCGCGGAUCAGCACGCCGCGGUGAAUACGUUCUCGGGCCUU
rnacentral:rRNA from 1 species